GGACGAUAACGGCGUCGAGCGGCGGACGGGUGAGUAAUGCCUGGGAAAUUGCCCUGAUGUGGGGGAUAACCAUUGGAAACGAUGGCUAAUACCGCAUAAUGCCUUCGGGCCAAAGAGGGGGACCUUCGGGCCUCUCGCGUCAGGAUAUGCCCAGGUGGGAUUAGCUAGUUGGUGAGGUAAUGGCUCACCAAGGCGACGAUCCCUAGCUGGUCUGAGAGGAUGAUCAGCCACACUGGAACUGAGACACGGUCCAGACUCCUACGGGAGGCAGCAGUGGGGAAUAUUGCACAAUGGGCGCAAGCCUGAUGCAGCCAUGCCGCGUGUAUGAAGAAGGCCUUCGGGUUGUAAAGUACUUCCAGUCGUGAGGAAGGUUCAUGCGUUAAUAGCGUAUGGAUUUGACGUUAGCGACAGAAGAAGCACCGGCUAACUCCGUGCCAGCAGCCGCGGAAAUACGGAGGGUGCGAGCGUUAAUCGGAAUUACUGGGCGUAAAGCGCAUGCAGGUGGUUCGUUAAGUCAGAUGUGAAAGCCCGGGGCUCAACCUCGGAAUAGCAUUUGAAACUGGCGGACUAGAGUACUGUAGAGGGGGGUAGAAUUUCAGGUGUAGCGGUGAAAUGCGUAGAGAUCUGAAGGAAUACCGGUGGCGAAGGCGGCCCCCUGGACAGAUACUGACACUCAGAUGCGAAAGCGUGGGGAGCAAAC
rnacentral:rRNA from 1 species